GCUCUUGGCAGAAAAGGACUUUUAUAGGAUCAUAAUAAAUACCGAGCCUCAGCAGCUUUCAUGUGCCUUGCAGGAGACAGUGGCAGCAGGGGCAAAUGAUUCUUCCUGGAUGGUGACUUUAACAAAGACUUCUUCUGGGGGGCACCGAUCUCCACCUGGCCAUGUCUUCAAGCCCAAGGAGAAGUCCCAGGAUGGGUCUGAGCUAAUCACGGUGAUCGCAAUACAAAUGACUGCGCUAAGCAUGGCACAGCUGGCCUCAAUCCUGGCCAAUGCAACCUGAGAAUCAACUGCUGGUGGGAUUCUGGGGGAGUUUUUCUCACUGUUAUAAACAGAUGCAUAAGCAGAAAUACUUCUCUUUGCUGGACACUGUCAUGUCUAAUGUGACGCCUGGAUCACUGAAGCCCCCAGAGGCCACGGGACACGCUGAAAAUGGCCCAGUGGGAAGGCGGAAAGCCUUGGGUCCUGAAAAACACUUCUAAGUCACUGACAGACCAAACUGAAAUCAUCCUUUAUUUUGUUCUUUUCAUGUCAGAAAAAAAGACCCCUAAAUUCUUUAAGUGACUUUUUUGUUAAGUUUUUGUUUCUAGAAGCCCAAAAUAUCCUAAUAAUAAUAAUUUUAAAUAAUCCACCUAUUUUUGGAAAUAGCUUGUUCAUCAUUGAGAUUAUGAAUAAUAGAUCAGUUCUCACCCCUGCCUUCCCUGCCAUUUACCAGAGUUAACUGUGAAGAAUUCUCUGUGUGUUUUUAAAAAUCCUGUAAAAUGCACACACAACACACACACAUAUUUAUGAUAAUGCUUGUUCUUAACCAAAAACUGAGAUCAAAUCUCUAUCUCACUAUAUGGAUAAGCAGUAAAUAAACCUUUUUCUAAUGCAGUAGAAAAGGAAAUCAACCUCUCCAAUGUUUAGGAUGUGACUUCAGUAGCUAGUUUCUUUGUGCCGUGACACUGCCUUCAGAAUUCUGAUCUUGGCCAAUUUUCCUAUCCAGCAAAUAAAGCACCAUUUCCCCCACACUGGUACAUUUUAAAAAGUUAGCUGUGAAUUCUAAGCUGCAAACAUUAGAUGCAGCAGGCGGUGUUCUCAUUGUAUCACCACUGGCUCUCGCCAAGGAGCCUGUGUGUUACCUGGAGAUCAAGGCGAAAAGCCUCAAAUGCACAAAUUCUGAAGUCAACUUGCUGUUUAUUAUUUUCAUGGAUUUUUCAAUACCCUUGGUAAUCGCAAUUUACAGCAAUGUGCUCUAAACUCUAACUUCAGCUGGGCAAAGUGGCUAACACCUGUAAUCCCAGCACUUUGGGAGGCUGAGGUAGUUGGAAUGCUUAAGCCCAGGAGUUUGAGACCAGCCUGGGCAACAUAGGAGACCCCAUCUAGAUAGACAGAAAGAUAGAUAGAUAGAUAGAUGGAUGAUAGACAGACAGACAGACAGACAUAGAUAAGCAAGCCCGGCAUGGUGUCACAUGCCUAUAGUUUCCGCUACUUGGGAGGCUGAGGUGGGAGGAUCACUUGAGCCCAGGAAGUUGAGGCUGCAGUGAACUGUGAUUGUGACCCUUCACUCCAGCCUGGGUGACAGAGCGAGACCCUGUCUCAAAACAAUACAACUCCCCACCCCCAACAAAAACCAAUGAUUCUAAUUUCAUUGCAAACCUUUACACACACACACACACACAUGCACACACCCCAGAAACAGGAGUGCGUGCAGGACAUGUGGAGGGGACAGACGUAAGUUGGGGAACGAUGGCUCGGUGGCAUCGUGCUGUUUUAUUUUUGUUGUUACCUCAGUGAAAACCUCAGAUAUAACCAGGCUCAUCUAUUUAUAUAUUGACCCAGAAGUUUC
rnacentral:lncRNA from 1 species